UUGGAGGGCAAGUCUGGUGCCAGCAGCCGCGGUAAUUCCAGCUCCAAUAGCGUAUAUUAAAGUUGUUGCAGUUAAAAAGCUCGUAGUUGAAUUUCGGGAUCAGAUUGUCGGUCGUGCCUCGGUACGCACUGGCAUUAUUGGUUCCUACCUUCUGAAGAACCGCGAUGUCAUUAAUUUGGUGUCGUGGGGAAUCAGGACUGUUACUUUGAAAAAAUUAGAGUGUUUAAAGCUGGCGCACGCUUGAAUACAUUAGCAUGGAAUAAUGAAAUAGGACGUUUGAUUCUAUUUUGUUGGUUUCUAGGAUCGACGUAAUGAUUAAUAGGGAUAGUUGGGGGCAUUAGUAUUCAAUUGUCAGAGGUGAAAUUCUUGGAUUUAUUGAAGACUAACUACUGCGAAAGCAUUUGCCAAGGAUGUUUUCAUUAAUCAAGAACGAAAGUUAGGGGAUCGAAGACGAUCAGAUACCGUCGUAGUCUUAACCAUAAACUAUGCCGACUAGGGAUCGGAUGAUGUUAAUUUUUUAAUGACUCAUUCGGCGCCUUACGGGAAAC
rnacentral:rRNA from 1 species